AUGCUGUGUCCUGGCAGGUCUGUGGGCUGCAGGGGGCCAGCGCUGACUGACAGAGGCCCUGCUGUGAGAGGCAGAGAGGUCCUCAUGAGCCUCAGCAUGCAGCCCCUUUCCCAGGCCCGCCUUGAGGCCUCCGGCCACACUGAAGGAGGGCCCUGCUCCGCUCCCAGACCUCAUCCACAGACCUGGGGGACAGGUUUAAUCAGCAGUAAUCACAUCAGACCAGAGUGACCAAAGGCGGGCUGCGAUAGAGUUCUGGCUCUAACGGAAACACAAGAGGGGAUGGAGAGAUAACACCUCAGGCUCUCUCAGUUCUAUAAGACAUGUGAAGUGCACUCUCGCUUUUAUCAGAAUGGGCUGAUAUGCAUGUCAGCCUGAAUGCUGAUGAAGCUUCAUCUGGUUUCCUGUUCUUACACUGCUGACCCUGUGGUGAGAAGGCCUGGCACAGACAGAUGUACAGAUGGACAUCACUUGAACUGUGCUCACUUUCCAGGACAAUGUCUUGGUAAGAUGACCCAACCAGGGCAGUUGAAGUCAGUUUUAUCAAUUAGCACCCUGGAGUUUUUUUGAGAGAUAAAAAUAAAGCGUAUUUUGUAACUAUAGUUUCCAGAUCUUGUGGUCUUGUGUCCAUCAGAUCAUCUGUGACUAACAAACUCCACUGCUCAUCCCACCAAGGGCUAAACGAGCCCUUCCUUAUUACUGAAAGACCUGAGGAUUGUGAAAUGCUGUUAUCUGACUGUUGAAGAACAGAUGAGACAAGGGCCAGUUCAGACACUCUUAUCUCAUGGACUCAUUACCCUUAUAUCCUGGGAAAAUAAACUACUGCACUGUAGCAUCAGCAUUAAACAAGUGUUGCUUUUUUGAUGUAUGUGAGUCAUUUAAAUAAUUUGUUUUUGGGAGGUUGUUAUUUUUAGUUAACUGUUAUUUUAGUUUAUUUUUAGUUUAAAAGAUUCAUUUUAAAUAAGCUGAUUUGGUGCUCAAGAAACAUUUAUCAUCAUUAUCAAUGUUGGAAAGAGUUGUGCUGCUGUAUAUUUUUGUGGAAAUGAUGAGACAUUUUUUCAGCAUUCUCAUUUAUUUGAAAUAUUUUUUUUGUAAUAAUGUAAAAGUCUUCACUGACGUGUUUGAUGAACCCUAACCUAAUAUUGUUUUUUUUUUUUGCUACAAGCUCCCAUAAUUCUCAACUAAAACACUAGUCCUUUUCAGGAAUUCCUGAAGACCACCCUUUGCCCCCAUAGAUAAUGGUCCUGCUUUGUUCCCAGGGAGUUCUCUCUCUGCUCACUGUAGUCUUAUCCUGCUUAUCCUGCUUGGCUUUACUGACAUCACACAGGGAAAAGAGAAGAUGACUAGUGCCAAGCAGAAACUCCCAUUUGAGGUUCAGAAUAAUGUUGUUGGGGAAUUUGCACAGUGACUGUUGUUCUUUUGGUUUCGGUGCUGCUUUAGAAGCAGAUAUUUCGCUAAUUGCUUGCAUGAUUGCAAAAUGAAGAUAGAGAUUGUUCCAGCUAGAUUAUACUUCAUUACCAUCACUACUUGAUGGUGAUAAUUAUGAUUAUACCAGAUAAUACUUUUCUUCAUUGCCAUUUUAUUCUUCAGAGAAUUUUAGAGCAAUGCACAAUUUAAAAGAUACAGUAGUUCCUACAAAUCUGACUUAUUUACUCAUCUUCAUGUUGUUCCAAGCUGAUAUGACUGAUGUUCUUCUGUGGAUCACAAAAGAAUAUUUAAAUGUUUUUGUCCAUACAAUGUAAGUCAGUAGAAUUCAGUGUUGUUUUGGAUCUUUGGCUUUCAUUUUAUGGACAAAAACAUUCUUCAAAAUGCCUUCUUUUGUGUCAUACAGGUUUGGAACAAUGUGAGGGUGAGUAAAUAAUUUGACAGAGCAGCCCUGGUCUUGUCCAGUCAGGUGUGAACGGAACAACGGUGAGUGUGAACCAACCAUUAGGCUCCCUGUAGUCUCUCAGAGUUAUUAGCAGCUCAAAGACCUGACUGCUAUCAGCCAAUGCAGGACUAGUUCCACCUGUUUAAGCCUGAAAACACCCAGGACUGCUUAGAAAAUAAGCUAACCGUCAGAAGAGG
rnacentral:lncRNA from 1 species